rnacentral:ncRNA from 1 species
CAUAAAAUUAGGCAAACUUACUGAAAGGUGAGGGCGCAAAGCCAUGGGUCUAAGGACUGUAGGAAGUCUAUGAUUGCCAGGUUACCAUU